GAAGAGAACAACAGGGAUUGCCUCAGUAACGGCGAGUGAAGCGGCAACAGCUCAAAUUUGAAAUCUGGCACCCUCGGGGCCCGAGUUGUAAUUUGCAGAGGGUGCUUUGGCGUUGGCUGUGGUCUAAGUUCCUUGGAACAGGACGUCGCAGAGGGUGAGAAUCCCGUAUGUGGCCGCCAGCCUCCGCCGUGUAAAGCCCCUUCGACGAGUCGAGUUGUUUGGGAAUGCAGCUCUAAAUGGGAGGUAAAUUCCUUCUAAAGCUAAAUACUGGCCAGAGACCGAUAGCGCACAAGUAGAGUGAUCGAAAGAUGAAAAGCACUUUGGAAAGAGAGUCAAAAAGCACGUGAAAUUGUUGAAAGGGAAGCGCUUGCAGCCAGACUCGCCCGCGGUUGCUCAACCGGGCACCAGCCCGGUGCACUCUUCCGCGGGCGGGCCAGCAUCAGUUCGGGCGGGUGGAUAAAUACCUGCUAAACGUACCUCUCCUCGGGGAGGACUUAUAGGGCAGGUGGCAUACACCCAGCCCGGACUGAGGUCCGCGCAUCUGCUAGGAUGCUGGCGUAAUGGCUGUAAGCGGCCCGUCUUGAAACACGGACCAAGGAGUCUAACAUCUAUGCGAGUGUUUGGGUGUCAAGCCCGGGCGCGUAAUGAAAGUGAACGGAGGUGGGAACCCCUCGGGGCGCACCAUCGACCGAUCCUGAUGUCUUCGGAUGGAUUUGAGUAAGAGCAUAGCUGUUGGGACCCGAAAGAUGGUGAACUAUGCCUGAAUAGGGUGAAGCCAGAGGAAACUCUGGUGGAGGCUCGCAGCGGUUCUGACGUGCAAAUCGAUCGUCAAAAUUUGGGCAUAGGGGCGAAAGACUAAUCGAACCAUCUAGUAGCUGGUUCCUGCCGAAGUUUCCCUCAGGAUAGCAGUAACGUUUUCAGUUUUAUGA
rnacentral:rRNA from 1 species